UGGAGCAGCUGCUGUUCUUGCCAGUUUAGUGAAUGAACAUGUUGAUCUACAUAUUGAUACUGCUGUCAUCAACUGAAGGCUCCAGAGCCACAGAAGUCAUCACUCCAAAAAGUGAGAGAGUAUUUGCACUUGAGGGUGACAAUGUGACUCUCUCUUGUAACUACAGCAGUUCUGCUCGUGGAGUUCACUGGUAUCGCCAAUACGCAGGCUCACCACCACAGUUCCUUAUACUGGAAGAUUCAGGCGUAACUACUGAAGCUGAUCCCCCCGUUCCAAGAGUAACCGUCAAUCACAGAAAAGGAGAGCGGCAUGUGGAUCUUAUGAUCUCCUCUGCUACAGUAUCAGACUCUGCUCUGUAUUACUGUGCUCUGCAGCCCACAGUCACAGGAAACACAGUAACACUGUACAAAAAACUGUUUUCAUCUGCUUAUCAAGCCUUAAAAUGUACAAACCACAGCUGGACUCAACAACACAAAUGUAAAAAAAAAAAGACAUAA